rnacentral:rRNA from 1 species
GACGAACGCUGGCGGCGUGCCUAACACAUGCAAGUCGAGCGGAGGAUGCGGCGUAGUAAUACAAAGUAUCUUUAGCGGCGGACGGGUGAGUAACACGUGGGUAACCUGCCUCAGAGUGGGGGGAUAGCCUUUCGAAAGGAAGAUUAAUACCGCAUAAGAUUGUAGCGUCACAUGGCGCAGCAAGAAAAGGAGCAAUCCGCUUUGAGAUGGACCCGCGGCGCAUUAGCUAGUUGGUGAGGUAACGGACUCACCAAGGCCACGAUGCGUAGCCGACCUGAGAGGGUGAUCGGCCACAUUGGAACUGAGACACGGUCCAGACUCCUACGGGAGCAGCAGU